GGCGAAAUCGCCGAAGUCAGCCAAUGGAAAACGAAAUGGAGAUUAAUUAUUACCAUAAGUACGGCUGUGGAUAGAAAGCUUGAUACGAACGAAGCCAAGAAAAUAUCAUACGAAUUAGCGACAAUCUUAAAAUACACAAACUAUGCGUGCACAUUCAUUGCUUGAACGUCUCAAAUUAAACCCAGUUCAGCUUCGGACUCAGCCAGAGUCAGCUGCUUCGAUGGCUUUUGUAUCUCUAUCUUCCUCCUCUCUCUUCUUGUCUCGAAAACCUUUGCCUCUCAGUUUCAGUUAUGGCGUUUCAUCAGACAAAUUGAGUUUUGGGUCGUUGAGUCCGGGGAGUUUUAAGUAUGGUACGAUAAAGAAGUGUCAAAGACAUGGUGUCUGCAGAGCUGCUUCUUCUGUUGUGUUUCGUGACCUUGAUGCUGAUGAUUUUCGACACCCACUUGAUAAGCAGAACACGCUAAUAUUGAGGGCAAUCCCUGGAUUAAACGAACUGGGAAAGGCUCUACUCGGUAGUGUGACAGAGCAAAUCAUGCUUCUAGAGAAUAUAGGAACUUCAGUUCUUGUUUCAAAAAUCCAGCUUCCUGAGCUUCAUCAGUUAAUGACUGAGGCUGCUGAAAUAUUGAACAUUGAGGCCCCUGAUCUGUAUGUGCGUCAGAGUCCAGUUCCAAAUGCAUAUACAUUAGCAGUAAGUGGUAAAAAGCCAUUUGUUGUUAUUCAUACUAGCCUUGUGGAGCUUCUAACUCGAAAGGAGUUACAGGCUGUGUUGGCACAUGAGUUGGGUCAUCUGAAAUGUGACCAUGGUGUUUGGCUCACUUUUGCCAAUAUUCUCACCCUUGGAGCAUAUACUGUACCUGGAAUUGGAGGGUUGAUAGCUCGAAGUUUAGAAGAACAGUUAUUCCGUUGGGUACGUGCAGCAGAAUUAACAUGUGACCGUGCAGCCCUGCUUGUUGCCCAAGACCCUAAGGUUGUCAUCUCUGUUCUAAUGAAACUAGUUGGGGGCUGUCCAUCCUUGGCUGAUCAACUAAAUGUAGAUGCAUUUUUGGAACAAGCUCGCUCUUAUGAAAAAGCUUCUUCAAGUCCAAUGGGAUGGUACCUAAGAAAUGCUCAAACAAGACAACUCUCACAUCCUCUGCCUGUUUUGCGUGCCCGUGAAAUUGAUGAAUGGUCAAGAAGUCCAGAUUACAAGAAUCUCUUGAAACGUGCAGUGCAGAUGAAUCCUGUACGAAAUGUUUAAUGUUCUGCUGGAAAUGGUCAAAAUCUGAAACAUUAUGUAAGGUUUUAGUUUCAUGGUUUUCGCUUUGUCUUGCAUUUCAUCCCUAAACUUUUCAAAUUAUAAUCGAAAGGAGCAGAGAAAAUUGACAAGGGAUGAUCAGCUACACACACUGUAAAUUUGGAACCUAUAUUUUAGACAUACUGUAAAUUUAAGAUGAGGAUUUGAUUUUUGGGUCAGUCUCAUAUAAGCAUAAACAAUGUAUAAUUAUGAAAUUUAGCAUCAUACUUGUAUUCUGAAAGAGUCACACUGUUGUAUAAUUUAUGUUCAAUACUGUAUAUCAGUAUACACUUGGGAGUUCAAAUUUUUUUACUGGAUGGAAUCAAAAUGUCAACAGCUCCGGUUGCAGUAUUGUUUUCAA